rnacentral:rRNA from 1 species
AUGCUUGCCGCGAAUGACGCAUCUCACGCGCGCCGCCACGCAUUCCAUCUCCGCCACAGCCCGACGACACCAACGGUGGCUCCCCUUCUCUUCUCGCGCCGAGGGGAGGUCUUACCCGCUCCGCAACCAGAUCAAGCACCUUCUUCUUGGGAGGUGCGCCUCCACUUCGCCUCUCUCUGGCCACGGAGCGCCUCCCUCUCACCACCAUGGCGACGGAUCUGCCUCCCUGAGCCACGGGUCCACCACCAUGGAUACGGACACACCAUGAUGGCGCCACGGGGAUCCACCACGAUGGCAUGGCGACGGAUCCACGGAUCCCUGCGCCAGAUCCAAAACCAACGGAGACGGAGGGACACACAAGCGCCAGACCUCGGCCUCCUCCAAGGUAGACCCAUCUCCGCCAUGGCGACCAACUGCAGCACAGCUGCCCAUCCAUUGGUGUUGCUGCUCUCCUCUGAUUUGUCGCCAUGA